rnacentral:misc_RNA from 1 species
UGAUGUGUGAAAUAGAAUUAAAACAAGAUUCUUGGAAAGGUUAAAUAUCAUUUUCGUGUCAAUUAAUACAAACCACCAAGAAUAAGACAUGAUAAAAGUUGUGUUAAAGUGGAAUGAGGCGUAUGUAUAAUUUCAUUACAUGGUUCAUUGUGCAGCUCUCCUCCAAUCAAAUCCUACCAAAGACCAGACCUCAAAAUUAAGACACACGCACAGACAAAGAAAGAAUGAUAGAAACCAUUUCUGAAAACAUCCAAGACCAUCCCUGAAACAUCCAUCACCAUUUCUGAAAAUUUAGAUCCACAUAGCCAUUUCUGAAACCUGAAAUCCCCAAAGUUAAAACUAAUUGAUGAGACAGGAGAAAAUAUAUCAGAAAUAUAUAGAGAGACACUGACCAUUGGCUAUGCCUACAGGGUGAGGCCAAGAAAAUCAGCAGCAGAUUUUGCCAUGAUAUUAGCAAACUCAUUAAAACUAAUGACACCAUCUCCAUUUGUAUCAGCCUCCCUCAUCAUCUGAGAUAGUUCUUGAUAAGUUAAUGGAUGACCCAUUUUAGCCAUGGAUCCUGCAAGCUCAGAUGCAGUAAUAUAUCCAUUGCCAUCGCGAUCAAAUGAUCGAAAGACCUCCAAUAACUGCUCCUGGUUGAUCAAUACUUCUUCGUUCAUGUCAGGCAAUAUGGCGGUCACCAAUUCAUCAAACUCAACAUAUCCAUUGCCAUUUGCAUCCAUGUUGGAUAGCAAGACAUGGAUUUGGUCGCCUGAAGGUUUGAGGCCGAGAGAGCGAAGAAGUGCGGCGAGCUCUAGCUGAGUCAGGCUCCCAUCGGAAUCCAUGUCAAAGCGCAUGAAGAUGUCCUUGAGCUGCUUGAGCUGGUCGGAUUGGAGGGUUGCCAUCAUGGCUGCAGGUAAUGGUGAUUGGUGAAGGAGAAGAGAACAAAAACCAAGAAGAAUAAUUAAAAGAAAAAACUUGUAAAAGAGAGAAAAGAAAGGGUAUUUUGGUUUGUUGAAGAUGUGGGGCUUACGUUUUUCUUUCUGGUUUCUGUAUGAUUUGGAAUGCUUCAAAUUCAAAGCGCGUUUCCAUUGAAUUUUUGUCAAUUGCCAAGCUUUGGGGCACACGAG